CUACGGGGGGCUGCAGUGAGGAAUAUUGCACAAUGGGGGAAACCCUGAUGCAGCAACGCCGCGUGGAGGAUGACGCAUUUCGGUGUGUAAGCUCCUUUUAUCAGAGAAGAAAAUGACGGUAUCUGAUGAAUAAGCUCCGGCUAACUCCGUGCCAGCAGCCGCGGUAAUACGGAGGGAGCAAGCGUUAUUCGGAAUCACUGGGCGUAAAGGACGCGUAGGCGGGUUUUUAAGUCAGGUGUGAAAUCCUAUGGCUCAACCAUAGAACUGCACUUGAAACUGGGGACCUAGAGUAUGGAAGGGGCAGGUGGAAUUAGUGGUGUAGGGGUAAAAUCCGUAGAUAUCACUAGGAAUACCGAAAGCGAAGGCGACUUGCUGGGACAUUACUGACGCUGAGGCGUGAAAGCGUGGGGAGCAAACAGGAUUAGAUACCCCCGUAGUC
rnacentral:rRNA from 1 species